rnacentral:rRNA from 1 species
UACGUAGGGUGCAAGCGUUGUCCGGAAUUAUUGGGCGUAAAGAGCUCGUAGGCGGUCUGUCGCGUCGGCUGUGAAAACCCGGGGCUCAACCCCCGGGCCUGCAGUCGGUACGGGCAGACUAGAGUGCGGUAGGGGAGAUUGGAAUUCCUGGUGUAGCGGUGGAAUGCGCAGAUAUCAGGAGGAACACCAAUGGCGAAGGCAGAUCUCUGGGCCGUAACUGACGCUGAGGAGCGAAAGCAUGGGGAGCGAACAGG